AUCCCUUUCUUGGCCUUUUAUCCAAAAUCAAGUGUAAUAUCCAUUCUUGUCAAUUUUGUGCCAGACGUAUCUUCAGUUUGAGGACUAGAUGUUAAAUGGAUGUGGGAAGCGGAAGGUCGACUUGGAGCUUGCUCUGUACCUUGCCCUAGCAAUGCAGGGCACCUUGGAACAGAACUCAGU
ensembl:snRNA U2 U2 spliceosomal RNA